rnacentral:rRNA from 1 species
GUGGGGGAUAUUGGUCAAUGGGGGAAACCCUGAACCAGCAACGCCGCGUGAGGGAAGACGGCCUUCGGGUUGUAAACCUAAGUGAUCAGGGACGAAGGAAGUGACGGUACCUGAAAAGCAAGCUCCGGCUAACUACGUGCCAGCAGCCGCGGUAAUACGUAGGGAGCGAGCGUUGUCCGGAUUUACUGGGUGUAAAGGGUGCGUAGGCGGGAAAGCAAGUCAGGUGUGAAAUACCGGGGCUCAACUCCGGGGCUGCGCUUGAAACUGUUUUUCUUGAGUGAAGUAGAGGCAGGCGGAAUUCCUAGUGUAGCGGUGGAAUGCGUAGAUAUUAGGAGGAACACCAGUGGCGAAGGCGGCCUGCUGGGCUUUAACUGACGCUGAGGCACGAAAGCAUGGGGAGCAAACAGGA